GACGAUAAUAGCACUAACACUUGUGUGACCACGGUUUUGUUUGGUUUUGUGUGUGUGUGUGUGUGUAAAAAUAGUACCUCAGACAAGGCUAAUAAGCAUUAUUAGCUCUCACAGGCUUAAGAGUUUAGGGGCACCUAGCCCAUCCGUGGAGCAUGUGACUCUUGAUCAUGGGUUGUGAGUUCAAGCCCCACCGUGGGCCUAGAGCUUACGUAAAAAUAAACAUAUUUGAACAUAAAUAGUGACCGAGAUCUAUGCAGGUAAGUUAUCCAGGCUUCAUACACCAGUGUUGACCAUAAGAUUUUUCCAGGUGGUCAGUCAAGAGGUAAUGGUGUCUCUAAUAUCCAUGUAGACCAUGACGUUCUGCCAGGAUCCAGGUAAUGUUGAUGGUUCCCACAAUGAGGAAAUUGACCAAAAUUCUUUACAGGCCCCCUGGCAGAACAUGUUGUUGCCUUACCCACAUUUUGACACCUCUUUUUUCAGGUUCCUGUCAAGAAAUCACUGUGAACGUAAUAAGGGUCAUGAACAAAAUCUUGUUAGUAACCAGUGAAGGGAUAAAGAGUGUUACUUACAGUGAAGACCAUCUAAUCUUCACAUUAUCAAAGCAAGUGAGAAUGAGGUCUCUAACAUUUGUGUUCUCAUCUUUUUGCAGAUAAGCCAUCAGGGUUUUGCUAGUAAACAGGUAUGAGAUGAUGUGACAUUGACGUAGACAUUGUUUUCAGAGCUCUUUGUGACUAACGAUAUUAUUCAGGCUCUUACAGUAACCUAGUGUUAGGCACGUAUGCAGUUAAGAAAUUAAGUUGUCCCUGACAAUCAUAAUAUGCCUGAGAAUUUCUUAUUGUUUAGGGAUAAUAUGUUUUGGACUGAUAGUGGGACUUUCAGACAUCCAGGUAAUUCAUCAUAUUGUCCAUCGCUGUGUUACUUACCGUGGGAUGAUUGCGGAUAAUCCUUCAAGAGAGGAAGGUGGCGCUUACUAGGGGCUGACCUCAGAGUUUUGCAAGUUUUCAUGUAUUACUGAUGGGUCCUGAAAUAUGAUGCAAAUGACCAAGGGAAUUGGCAGUUGUCCAUCAGGAUAAACUUGUACCCAACGCGUUUUUCACAGUGUGUUUGUCAGGUUCCUGUCGAGACAUCACGACGAACCUAGCGAUGGUCAGUAAUGGGGAACUUUCGGCAAGCAGGCAGAUAAAAGAGCAUGUGGGCCUAAACCUCAGACCGUCUGGUCUCCAGAUAGCUAGGUAAGUGAUGACGUUUAUAACAUUUCUCAAUCCCAUUACGUUCCUGCAGGUGUUGAGGUAAGAGACGAUGUAGCCCUUACCAGUAAUAAAAACCGUGAGUUCUCACCUUUAUGUUUAGAGAACAUCUAUAGCCCUGUUCGUGUCGAAGGAUGGUUCUUGUACAGGUGAUUGUCAUGGAGUUCACACCCCAGUAGGACCCACGGAAUGUGCAGAUGUCCAGUUGAUGUGUUCCAUAGUAAUGCGAGUGAAAAGGUUAUGUUCAGGUGUUCUAGUAGCAUAAUUUGCAUUUCAAACCCAUUGUUGCUUGUGCUUUUACGGGUUCUUGUCAAGAGAACACAGUGAACCUUCCACCGGUUUGGAACGCAUCCUUACUAGUAACCAGGUAAGUCAUACAGUGGGUCUUUCUACACUGCAGACCAAUGUAAUCCCCAAUAUCUAGGUAAGUGAGGGUGGUGUCCCUAACACUGUGUUACUGUGUUCAUUUGCAGAUACCCUUUUAAGGUCUUUGCUUGCCCACAGGUAUGCAAUCAUGUGACAUCAACUCAAUAGAGACGUUCUUAUUUUUAGAUACCCGCAUAUUAAUGUGUUUCAGGUUCUAGUAUUCACAUUGUUUUUGGCAUGUAUUCUGUUAAGAAAUCAGUGUAUUGCUAAAAUACUAGUAAGAAUGAGAGUUUUAUCCUGGUUCAGAGAUACUGUAUUUUUUAAAACGGGUAGCAAUAGAAGGAUGUGCAGGUAGUCAGGUAAUUGAGAAUAUCGUCUGUCACAGUAUUCUUGACCGUGGCUUUUUUGUAGAUAUCCCUGCGGAGAGGAACCAGUCUCUUCCUAGCUUUGAGCUUGGAGUUCUGCAGGUACACAGGUAGUGUCGAUGGAUCCCAAAACAAUACAAGUGACCAAGGGAAUUUGCAGGUGUAUGGGUUAAAUAAGACGUAAACAAAAUUUCCACAAUGUGUUUUUCAGAUUCACCUCAGGACAUGACGGUGAGUCUGUCAGUAGUAGUUCAUGUGAGACCCUGGUGGUAUGAACGUAAGUGAUGAUGUGGGCCCCAGCACAGACCAUCUGAUUUGCAUAUGCAUGGGCAAGUGAUUAAGUGUUCUAACACUUUGAGUUACCGUGAUUUUUUUUUUUUUGGCAAGUAUUCGGGGAAAAAAAAUGAUGGUUUUACCAACUGUAGAAAACACAAGUUUUCACUUUUAUAUUUCAGGAAGGUUUAUGUUGAACACUGUGAGGCAUUACAUACAUCCAAGUAUUUAUCUUGUGUUCCCUCCGUGGUACUAUUUAUAUGAUAUUUAGAAGCGUCCGAACGCUGAGUUUUCUGACGUUGUUGCUAACUUUUAAUUACAAGUACUCAGAGUUGGUUUGUUCCAUAAUGAUGAAGUGAACAAUCUUUUUUGCAGGUGUCAUGGUAGAAAAAGUUGUUUCCAUUAACCCUGAUUUCGUAACGUGUUUUCCAGAUCCUUGUCAAGACCUCAGGAUGAACUUAGCAGCAGUCAUUAAUAGGGGCGGAUAUCCUGUUGAUACGCAGGUAAGGCCACCCGAUCUCCAGAUACCUAGGUAAGGGAUAACAGUGUCUCUUAGGGUUGUUACCAUGAUUUCUUUGCAAAUAUUCGGGUAGGAAUUGAUAGUCCUUUCUAAUUCUAGAAAGUGUGAGUUGUUAGCGUUUGUAUUUUAGAAAAGAUGUCUGUUUAGCCCUGUGAGUGUUAAGGGAUCCCUUUGAGUGUUAAGGGAUAUUUAUCAUGAUGCUUCCGACCAUAGCAAUGACCAUGGAAAUUUUGCAGGUGUCCUGUAAAGAAAUACUGUCUUCCCUGACAACAAUGGUCUUGAUCUUGGAGUACUGCAAGCCUGCAGGUAGAGUUGACGUUCUCAUAAUAGCGAAAGUGACCAAGGUGCCUUACAGGUGUUCUGCUUACACCAGGUCACAUCCCUUACACAUAUGUCAUAAUGUAUUUGUCAGGUUCCUUCAAGAUCCUGAAGCACUUAACAGUGGUCGGUAAUGGGGGACAUUUCUUGUGUCCAGGUAAGCGGUGAUGUGUAUCUUUACCGCAUCAGACCCUCUGAUCUCUCCGUGUGUGUGUGUGUGUGUGUGUGUGUGUGUGUGUGUGUGCAGAAGGACUGCAACAAUCCGGGAAGAGCGGAAGGGUCCUGCAGUGAGGGCAAAGAACAAGAUGAUGUGCCGUGGCCUAGUAGAAGAGGAGUGUCCAUAGACGCAUCGUUCGCAAAGUGGUUUUUAAAUACCAUCGAGAGGUCAUGGUAAAUUUCAAAAUGGUCGUUGAUGGGACUUUGCUUCUAUUCAGGUACGUGAUGAUAUGGGCCUUAAGCACCCUGUACGUUGAUGUUCAGAUAUAUAGGUGAGGGCAGAUGGUGUCCCUAACUGUUCUGUUACCAUGUGUCUAUGCAGGUAUUCAGUUCAGGCCUGAUACUGUCCCAACCAGUGCUGGUAAGUAUGAGCCCUUAGGUAUUUAUUUGUUAAAAUUUAGAUCUAAUGUGUAUUUAACCUCGGUAGUGGUAAAGGGAUGUGCAGGUCCAGAGAACUUCUCCUCUUGCGCAACAAGUAUUGACCAUGAGAUUUCUACAAGUGCUGCUAGAAGGAGAUGUUAGUGUGUCUAACAGUGGUCGGCCAAGACCUGUGUUGUGUUAUGCUUCCCCCAAGUGACCAAGGUUAUUUGCAAAUAUACUGUUUUUUUGCAGGUAAACAAGUUGUAUCCUGCCACAGGCUUGUUGAGUGUUUGUCUGAAGAUUCUAGCAGUCCUGACAUCACAGUGACCCAGACCAUUGUUUACAGUGGGAACUUGCUGGUAACCAGGUAUGUGAUAAAGUGGGUUAUCCCAAUACACGUAUCUGAUCCUCAGCUCUCGAGGUGAGUGAGGUUAGUGUCUCUAGCCCAGUGUACCGUGCUUUUUUCAAAGUUUCCUAUUGAUUUCUUUGCUACGUUGGUGAUAUGAGAUGCUGUAGUAUUAACUCAUUAGAUACAUUCACUUUGUAUUGGAGACAAAGUUUGUUUGACCCUGUGAGCAUUGAGGGAUAACACAUAUGCAACUAUUAACGACCGUGUCUUCCCCACAGUCCUCCCCAUGGGCUUUCUGCUGGUGGCCAGUGAAGUGACGCUGAGUUUGUCUGACAUCAGUGUUGAUCCUUGAUUACUGAAAGUACCAGGUGGAGUUUGUGUGCCUAUCAUGACGGAGUACUCAGGCUAUUUCCAGAUACUGGCUAACGCAAGUCGUUUCCUCUAACGUAGAUUUCAUAAUGUCUUGACAGAAAGCUGAAAAGUCAUCACUGUAUGCCUGACAUGGAAGGAAAGGGCAGACAUGGCUGGUAUGUCCGCAGGUAGUUGAGGAUGUGGGUCUCAACCCCGGCACAGGCCGUCUGAUCUCCAGAUAGCUGGGUAAGUGACGAUGGUGUCUCUUAGCGUUGGGACCCUGAUUUCUUUGCAGGCAUUCGGGUACGAUUGGAUAGUCCUUACUGAUUCUAGAAACCAUGAGUGUUUACCGGUUAUAUUUUAGAAAACACUUCUGCUUAGCCUUGUGAGUGUUGAGAGAUUGCCAUAUCCAUGGAAUUAAACAUAUGCCCUCAACCACAGCCAUAACCGUGAAAAUGUUGCAGGUGUCCUGUGAAGACAUAUUGUCCUAACUGGUGAUGAAUUUGACCUUGGAGGACUGCAAGCAUUCAGGUAGAGCUGAUACGUCUCAUGAGGAGAAAGUGACCAAGGUUAUUGCAGGUGUCCUGGUAGAACAAGUUGUGUCCUGUUACACGUGUUGUAUUGUGUUUUUUAGGUGCCCGUCAAUGAGUUCAAUGCACCUGACAAGGGUCAUCAAGGCGGGGACAUUUCUGGCCUUCAGGUAUAUGAUGAGGUGUACCUUCACUGUAUCAGACCCUCUGAUCAUCAGGAAUCUGUUUGUGCUAAGUUUUGUUAAUUGCUUGAAGUUAUUUACCAUGUGGGUUAUGUGAAGCAUUCUGGGAGAAAUGAUAGUAUUGUUACCAAGUCUAGCAAACAUAUUAUCCCACCAUUUGAUGCUUUAGAGGAAAUUACAUUUAACCAUGUGAAUAUUUAGUGAUUCAUGGCUAUUCACGUAACAAUCAUGGAGUUGCGGGUCACAGGCGUUACCAUGGUAUUUUGGUAGGUGAGCGAUGAAGACAUAAUGGCGUCUGACAGUGGCCUAGACCUCGGCGUACUGCAAGACCCCAGAUGGGUUUGAUGGGUCCUACAGUGAUGGAAGCAUACACAGAUACUUCCCAUGUCCUGGUAGAGGGGGUCAUACAUGGACCCGUUUAUCAUACGUGAUUUUCACUCGAUCUUAGCCAAGACGCUGAGGAGUGAUGUCACAAUGUGUUUUUCCCGGUCCUGUCGAGAAAUCACAGUGAGCCUCAUACUGACCAGACCUAGGACUGUGCCUUUCCAGGUGAGUGAUCACGCGGGCCUUCACCCUGGAAACAACCUAGCCAUCUGAUAAGUGGAUAAGUGUGGAUGGAUUUCCCAAGUUGUUGUUAGUAUGCUUUUGUCUUUUUUUUUUUUUUUUGACAGGUAUUCGGGUAAGGAAUGAUACGGUCCCCACAAAUGGUUGGAUGCAUGCUAGUGAGUAUUUUAAAGUUUAGAUAGAAUGUGUGUUUAGCCCUAGUGGUGACAGAGAGAUACACAGGUGUGCAAGUCGCUUAUCCUACGGGGCCACAGCACAGUCAUGAGCCUGAAAUUGUAUAGGUACUCAGGUGAGAAUGGUUUCUCUAACAAUGGAGUUGACCUUGAAGCUCUAGUUCCGCCAAGGUCCAUAGUGUUGAUGUUUCCUCUAAUGAUGGAAAUAUCUUACAUGUCAGUUGUGUUUUUUCAGGUUAUGGUAGUCAGUCAUGUUACAGUGACCCUGGUUAUGCUCUUUCAUGGGACCCUGCUAGUCACCUGGUAAGUGGUAUUGUGGAUGUGACACUAUAGUUGAGAUCAGCUGUUGUUAAGAAUUCUAGGUAGGUGAGGAUGGCGUCCCAAACACUAACCACAGCGUUAAUAUGGUUUUUUCUGCAGAAAUCAUGUUAAAGUCUUUGCUGUUGCAUGGGGAUCAGAUGAUGUCCCAUUAUCACAUUAACUCAUUAGAACUCCAUUUUUUCAGGUAUGUAUCUAAUUAAUGAUUUGAGUACUCUUACAUUACCCAUGGUUCUGGCUUGUAUGCAGUGAAAUUAAUUUCUCCCUAACAAUACUUGGAACACAGACUAUUUCGAUAUAUCCUUCUUGAGGGAUUGUGUUUUUUUUUCUACGUUUAUUUAUUUUUGGGACAGAGACAGAGCAUGAACGGGGGAGGGGCAGAGAGAGAGGGAGACACAGAAUCGGAAACAGGCUCCAGGCUCCGAGCCAUCAGCCCAGAGCCUGACGCGGGGCUCGAACUCACGGACCGGGAGAUCAUGACCUGGCUGAAGUCAGACGCUUAACCGACUGUGCCACCCAGGCGCUCCGGGAUUGUGUUUUUCAACUCUAUUUGAAAAAAGAAUAGGCAGGUAUCCAGGUGAUCUGUGUUACUGUCCAUCUUCACAGUAUUGAACAUGGGUAUAGGUAUCUCUGUGAGCAAAGAAGGUAUUUCUUACCAGAAUUAGUCUUGUACUUCCGCAAGUAUCCAGCUUGUGGUGAUGAAUCUCAAAAUGGUGCCCUUGACCAAUGGAAUCUGCAGGAGAUCAGGUAGAAUCAGGCAUAUACUGAACAUAUUCCUGAUUGAUAGGCUCCCCCAUAUUGAAUGAAGCAUAUAGAAGUAUCUAGGUAAGUGAUGGUAUGGUCCUAACCACAGCACAGACCAUCCAAUCCUAAUAUGUAGGUAAGUGAUUGUGCCCUUAACACUUUUGUUACUAUGAUUUGGUUGCUGGUAUUCAGGUAAGAAAUGAUAGAGUCUCUACCAAGUCCAGUGACCAUGACUCUACACUUGCUACAUUUUGUACACAACUUAUACUUAAUCCCUGAGUGUUGACAUUCAAAUGUAUCUAUUGUUGUCAAGGAGUUUCCAUGCCAACAGUAAACACCGUAUUGUUGCAGGAGUCCAGUUACAACAUGAUGGUCUCUCUGACCAAAGUGUUGACCCGAAUUAAUGGAAGCAUCAAAGUAGAGUUGAUGUGUUCCAUAAUAAUGGAAGUGAAAAGGAUUAUCAGCAGGUGUUGUGGUGGAACAAGUUGUGUGCUUAAACAUAUUUUUCCUAUGUGUUUCUUCAGAUUCUUGUCAAGAAAACCCAGUGAACCUCACAGUAUUCACUGAUGGAAGCUUGCUCUUAACCUGGUAAGUGAUAAAGCGGGUUCCACCACCAUCCAGACCACGUGAUCUUCCAUUGGAAGGUCGGUGAGGGUGAUGUCCCUGACAUUUGUGUUACCAUGUUUGUUUGCAGGUAUCCCGUUAAGGCUUUUGCUGUGUUAUACAGGUAUGAGAUGAUGUGACAUUGAGACAUUAUUUUCAGAACUGGGUGUGAACAAUAAUAUUGUGCAGGCUCUUACAGUAGCCUCGUGUUAGGCAUGUAGGCAGUUAGGAAAUUCACUUGUCCCUAACAAUCGUAGUAUGCCUGAGAAUUUCUUCUUGUUUAGACAGAAUGUGUUUUGGACUGAUAGUGGGACUUUCAGACAUGCAGGGAAUUCACUGUAUUGUUCAUCGUUGUGUUACGAACAAUGGGAAUUUUGCAGGUAUUCCUUCAAGAGAGGAAGAUGGCUCCUACUGGGGGCUGACCUCAGAGUUUUGCAAGCAUUCAGGUGUCAGUGGUCUUGACAUGCUACAAAUGACCAAGGGAAUUUCGAGGUAUACAGAUAGAAUGAUUCCUGGACCAAACACUUCUUUCACAAUGUGUUUUUCAGACGAAGUCAAGCCCUCACCCUGAGCUUCCUAAUGAUAACUUAACAUGGGACAUUGUCGUUAUCAAGGUAUGUGACGAUGUGGGCCUAAACCAUUGCACAGAUCAUCUGAUCUUCAUAGACAGAGGUAAGAGGUGAUGGGUAUCCCUUACAUUUCUUGUCAGCAUCCUUCCUACAAGUAUUCACUUAAUAAAGGAUAGAUUCCAGCAGGCCCUGGGUGGCUCCAUUGGUGAAGUGUCGACAUUGACAUAGGUCAUGAUCUGAUGGUUCAUGGGUUCAAGCCCCAGUCAGGCUCUGUGCUGACAGCUCAGGGCCUAGACCUGCUUCAGAUUUUGUGUCUCCCUCUCUCUGCCCCUUCCCCACUCAUGCUCUGUCUCUUUCUGUCUCUCUUUCAAAAAAAAAAGAAAAAGAAAAAAAGGAUAGAUUCCAAACCACAUCUGGGAACCAUUGUUUUGCACACUGUAUAUCGAAGAGAAAACUUAUGUUUACCCCUGUGAGUGUUGAGGGAUCAUGGGUAUCCAAACAAGUGUCAGGAUGUUCUGGGUCCUGUUAUUAAAUUGUGAUAUUAUCUGACAAUGGUGUUGACCUUAAUCAUAGAGUGUCCAUGGUUAUUUCCAGAUGUUAUGGUUUAAAAAAAAAAAGUUGUAUCCCUUAGUAACAUACUUCACAAAAUGUUUUUCAGGUUCUUGUUGAGACGCCAUGGUGAGCCAGAAGUCAUUAACGAGGGGACAUCUCUGGUAUGCAGGUGAGUGUGGACAGGCACAUCACAGACCAUCUGAUCUUUCUGUAUCUGGGUGAAUGAUGCUGGAAUGUCUAAAACCGUUUUACCAUGUGAGUUCCUGGCAGGUGAUCAGGUAAACAAGCAAUCAAAAUAUGUUGCCAGUUGUAACAACCAUGUUACCUGCUGUCCUCUUGCACAGAAAAUGUAUGUUUAACUGUGUGAGUAAGGAGUUGUGUGCAUUUCUCCAGGUAAUUACCCUGGAAUUCUGAUUCACCAUUGUAACCAUGGUAUUUUAGAGAUGUGUAGUCAGGAGAUGAUGAGGCUAAAUGUGGCUAGCCCUUGAAUAUUGAAAAAUCCAUUUAGGUUGAUGGAGCCAUGAUGGAAGUGAAGGAGUUUAUUUUCAGGUGUCCAUAUGCAAGAUGUGUGUCCACAGAUAAACAUUUGUCGCAUUGUGUUUUUCAGGUUCCGCUCAUGAGAUCAUAGUGAACCUCUUCAUGUUCAUUACCACAGACUUUGCAUGGAUCACAGGAAGUCAUGGUAUGAGCCAUAGGCACCUUAAAGAUCAGGUGAUCUUCAGAUACUGAGGCAAAUGAGGAUGCUGUUCCUAACCUUUCUCUGAGUAUUUUUGAUAGGUAUUCAGGUAAGAAACUGUCUCGUUCCUACUGAUGCUAGUAAGCAGUCGCCUUUGGUAGUUGAGAGUUUAGAUGUCGUGCAUGUUUAUACGUAGAAGGGACUGAGGGAUAAACAGGUGUCCACGUUAUCCCACUAUUCGAUACCAAACGCUACGGACCAAGAGAUUUGUCCAGAAGAAACGAUGGUGUGUCUAACAGUGUCAACUUUGAAUUCUACCAAGGUCGAGGUAGUGUUGAAGCUUCCCCAUUAACGGAGGUGACCAAGAUUAAUAGCAGGAGUCAUGGCAGCACACGUUGUUUUCUUUCUUUCUGUUUUUUAUUUGUUUUUUGUUUUUAUUGGUUUGUUGUUGUUGUUGUUGAACAGGUUGUGUUCUGAAACACAAUUGUUGCGUCUGUUUUCUCAGGUUCCAGGCAAGAGUUCACAGCAAAUGGAGCAAUGGUCAUUUGGGGGACGUUGUUAGAAAGCAGGUGUUCUGUUAAGUUCUUUGCUACUAGAGGCAUGAUGUGAUGGGACAUACGCUCACAAGAGACUUGUUGUUGCUUUCAGCCCUCUAGGUAAUCAAUAAGAUUUCCAAAACUCUUCGAAAAACCUGGUUUGGGGGCACGUAUACCGCUAAGAAAUUGAUGAGUCUUGAGCAAUUCUUGUUAGCCUGAGGAUUAACUGUCUUCUGAUUCAGAGAGAAUGUAUUUUGUAUACUUGUAGUGGUAACAGAUAGAGAAGUAACCAUGGAAUGUUUGCAGGUGUCCCUUUAAGGGAAGGUAUCUCUUACCAGGGUUACACAUUAGAUUUCUGCAGUUAUUCAGGUGAACCUGAUGAGUUACGAAAUGAUGGGACCGUCCAAGGGAAUUUUGUGGGCGUCCAGGCGGAAUGGGAUGUGUACCGAACACUUUGCACAGCGUGUUUUUCAGGUUCCUGUUAAGACCAGGCCUGUCAGUGGCAGUUAAAGAGGCACAUCGCAGGUAACGAGGUAAGUGAUUUGGACCCAAACCACAAGCACAGACCAUGUGAUCGUCGCACCUCUAGGUGAGUGAUGCUUAUGUCCUUAAUACGUCUUUUCACCGUGACAUAUUGCAGGUGUCCAGGUAAGAAAUGGCAGAGUCCGGGGGCGCCUGGGUGGCUCAGUCAUUUAGGCAUCCCUUCUUGAUCUCAGUUCAGGUCCUGAUCUCCCGAUGCAUGAGAUCAACUCCGCAUCGGGCUCGGGGCUGACAACACAGAGCCUGCUUGGGAUUCUCACUUUCCUUUUCUCCCUUUCUCCCUUUCUCCCUUUCUCCCUUUCUCUCUCUCUCUCUCUCUCUCUCUCUCUCUCUCUCUCUCUCUCCUCCUCACUCACUCACUCAAAAUAAAUACACUUAGAAAAAUAAGAAACGACAGAGUCCCUAGCAUUUCUAAUAGCCAUGGGUUUCUAUUUUUCACAUUUCAGAAAAAAUUUAUGGUCAAUCCUGUAGGUAUUGAGAAAUUGAUCCUGCCUAGGCAAUUGUGGUGGAGCCUCACCACUGUAGAAACCAUAGGAUUUUCCCAGGUUUCCAGUCAAGUAAUGUUAGUCUCUCCUGACAACAGUGUUGACCUUGAAUUAGUGCAAGUGUGCCAGUGGAGUUGAGGUGUUGCCUAACAAUGGAAGGGAACAAGUUCAGGUGCAGGAGUCUUGAGAGACCACCUUGUGUCUGAAACACAUUUCAGUUUGUUUCCUCAGGUUGCUGUGAAGGAAACAGAGUGAACGGAAAAUGGUUCACACACCCUUGCUGCUAAGCAGGUAAGUGUUAAAGUGAGUCCUUCUAUAAUGAAGUCCUCUGAACUUCAUUAUCUAGGUAAGUGAGGGUGAUGUCCCUAACAUGGGCGGUAAUGUGUUUUGUUUUUUUUAAUUUUUGUGGGUAUCAGGUUAAGAUCUCUGCUAGUAUGGAGGUAUGAGAUGAUGUGAUAUUAACUGGUUAAAGACCUGUGUUUUACGGUUUUAUUUUUAAGUAAUCUGUACGCCCAGCCUGGGGCUCAAAGUCACAACUCCAAGAGGAAGGGUCGCAUGAUCCACCGACUGAGCUGGGCAGGUACCCCUAAGGUCAUUUCUGUAUUCAGAGAUCUACAUAAAUUGAUGAUUUCAAGUCUCUUCUGUUUACUUUGUUUUGGGCACGUAUUCAGGUAAGAGUUUAAUUUGUCCCGAAUGCUAAGGGUAGCAUACAAUUUUUUUGUAUUCCUGUUUAGAAAGAGGUAACUACCAUACUCGGGGUAGAUUUGCAGGUAUCCAGGUGAUUUAUCAUAUUGUCCUUCAGUACUUGAUUGACUAUGGAAUUAUUGCAAUAUACCUUGAAGUGAGGAAGUGGUGUCUUCCUGGGGAUUCAUCCGGGGAGUUCUGCAAGUCUCUAUGCAGUUGGACGGGUCAUGAGAUGAUAGAGUGACUGAGGGAAUUUGUAGGUGUAGAGGUCGAAUGAGACCCAUGCAAAAAUAUUUUCUACAGUGUUUUUGCUCAGACUCGUAUGGAUACAUUACAAUUAGCCUAUCAGUGGUAGCUAACAUGAGACAUUGCUGAUGUCACAAUACUGAUGACGUGGGCCUAAGCCACAGCACAGACAGACCACCUGAUCUGCAGAUAGCUAGGUAAGUGCUGGUGGGGUCCCUAACACUUGCCGUUACCUUGAUUUUCUGUAGGUAUCCGGUAGGAAGUGACAGUUUCCUUACUAAUGCUUGAAACCAUGAGUUUUCAGUGUUUAGAGAAAAUUCUUCUUUAAUUCUAAUGAGGGAUUGCACACAUCAGGUGUUUGUCAUUAUGUCUCAACCACAGGAGUGAUGGUGGAAAUUUUGCAGGUGCUCCGUAAAAGUUGUAUUACCUGACAAAGGUCUUGACCUUGGAGUCCUACAGCUAUUCAAGCAGAGGUUUCCUGUCAAGAGAUUAUGGUGAACUUCAGACUGGUGACCCUCUGGGGACAUGAUGUUCUCCUUCACCAUUUCAAACCAUCUGAUCUUCUCAUAUCUAGGUGCGUGUUAUUGAUGGACUAAACUCGCUUGCCAUGUCUUCUGGUUUUUUCCAGAUAAUCAGGUAAGAAAUGACAGUGUUUUACCAAUUACAGCAAUCAUGCUAUUCUAGUGUUCUCUACUUCAGAGAAAAUUUAUGUUCACUUAUUUGAGAGUGAGGUGAAUUUGGAUGUGAAUAGCCAUAAUCACGGAAUUGUGUGCUACGGGAAUACCCUUGGUGUUACUGAAGGUGAGCAGGGAACGGGUGAAGGUGUGUCUAUGGUUGGCAUAGACCUUGAAGGACUGUACCAAUCCAGGAAGAGUUGAUGGGUCCAGCAGUGAGGGCAAUGAACAAGAUGAUGUGCCGUGUCCUAGUAGAAGAGGAGUGUCCGUAGAUGCAUUGUUCACAAAGUGUUUUUUCAAUUACCAUCGAGUGGUCAUGGUAAAUUUCAAGAUGGUCGUUGAUGGGACUUUGCUUCUAUUCAGGUACGUGAUGGUAGGGGCUUAAGCACCCAGUACGUUGAUUUUCAGAUAUGUAGGUGAGGGCAGAUGGUGUUCCUAACUGUUCUGUUACCAUGUGUCUAUGCAGGUAUUCAGUUCAGACCUGAUACUGUCCCAACCAGUGCUGGUAAACAACUUGUAUCCUGCCACAGGCUUGUUGAGUAUUUGUCUCAAGAUUCUAGCGGUCCUGACAUCACAGUGACCCAGACCGUCAUCAUCAAUGGGAACUUGCUGGUAACCAGAUACCUGAAAAGACAUCACUGUACACCUGACAUGGAAGGAGAUGGCAGACGUGGCUGGUAUGUCCGCAGGUAGGUGAGGAUGUGGGCCUCAACCCCGGCACAGGCCAUCUGAUCUCCAGAUAGCUAGGUAAGUGACAAUGGUGUCUCUUAGCGUUGGGACCCUGAUUUCUUUGCAGGCCUUCGGGUACGAUUUGAUAGUCCUUACUGAUUCCAGAAACCAUGAGUGUUUACCGGUUGUAUUUUAGAAAAGACUUUUGCUUAGCCUUGUGAGAGUUGGGAGAUUGUCAUGUCCGUGUAAUUAACAUAUGCCCUCAACCACAGCCAUAACCGUGAAAAUGUUGCAGGUGUCCUGUGAAGACAUAUUGUCCUAACUGGUGAUGAUUUUGACCUUGGAGGAUG